rnacentral:rRNA from 1 species
UACGUAGGAGGCAAGCGUUGUCCGGAAUCACUGGGCGUAAAGCGCGUGUAGGCGGAUCGCUAAGUCUGUGGUGAAAGCGCCUGGCUUAACCGGGCGAGGUCCAUGGAAACUAGCGGUCUGGAGGCCGGUAGAGGGGGGUGGAAUUCCGGGUGUAGUGGUGAAAUGCGUAGAGAUCCGGAGGAACACCAGUGGCGAAGGCGGCCCCCUGGGCCGCGCCUGACGCUGAGGCACGAAAGCGUGGGUAGCAAACAGG